UUAGCCCUACGGGAGGCAGCAGUGAGGAAUAUUGGUCAAUGGCCGCAGGGCUGAACCAGCCAAGUCGCGUGAGGGAUGACGGUCCUACGGGUUGUAAACUUCUUUUGUCAGGGAGCAAUUGAGUCCACGUGUGGUCUUAGCGAGAGUACCUGAAGAAAAAGCAUCGGCUAACUCCGUGCCAGCAGCCGCGGUAAUACGGAGGAUGCGAGCGUUAUCCGGAUUUAUUGGGUUUAA
rnacentral:rRNA from 1 species